UACGUAGGCGGGAAAUUAAGUCAGUAGUGAAAUCCCACAGCUUAACUGUGGAACUGUUAUUGAUACUGGUUUUCUUGAAUAUAGUUGAGGUAGGCGGAAUGUGUAAUGUAGCGGUGAAAUGCUUAGAUAUUACACAGAACACCGAUUGCGAAGGCAGCUUACUAAGCUAUGAUUGACGCUGAGGUACGGAAGCGUGGGGAGCGAACAGGAUUAGAUACCCUGGUAGUCC
rnacentral:rRNA from 1 species